rnacentral:lncRNA from 1 species
UUUAGAAGUGGGUGUGUGUGACCGUGAGAACAAGACCAAGGGGGAAACCCUAUUUCUUCAAAAUCUUGCAAAUUAAAGGAGAAAAGGGCUAAAUUUUGAAUGCAUGAACUAAGAAUGAUGAUCAUCUAAGCAUACCCAACAUCAAGAACGUGUCAAGGAGAGGUCAAGCAUAGGAGGAUAACGGGUCAAGAUAAGGCAAGGUGACAAAUACACUUAUUGGAGUACUCGAGGUAUGGGAUCGUUGGCUUCAUGAAGAAAUGGAGCUGGAUUUGGAUAAGAGUAUUUAAGAAAGCGCUUGGACAAUUCCACGACUACUUUAUAGAAUGCUCUACGAAAUUUUAUUAUAUAGUUUAAUGUUGAAUGGUAUGUUAAUGACUAAUGGUUUGGUUGUACGUGGUGUCCACAGGUAUCGCUUGGGUUUUCUCUACAUUUAUUGAAGUGAAGCGGACUUAGUUCGAGUUGAGAGCAAGGAUUGUACGGGGUAGAAUGGUCACAUAGUGUAACUCAUAUAGGUUUUGAAGUAUUAAUGUUAUAAAACGUUAUAAAUCCGUUUUAAUGAAUAUAUGGCAUUUCGCACUUGAACCUUCAUGUGUUUGAUAUGUCUAUUAAAGAACGAAAUUUUUGGGCUCUUGUUUUCCGCUGCGUCGUAUUUUAAGUUAUUACGCGUUAGUCUUACAGGGAAUUGUUCUUAUUACGAACGGGUCAUGCCCGAAUUUUGUUAAAUAAUAGUAUGAUAAUAUUACAUUUUGGAAUGUGUAAUUUGGGUGUAACAAGUUGGUAUCAGAGCCCUGGUUUGAGAGAAUUAAGUACGAGAGUAUAAGUACUUGAACUCAAACCUGUGUGCUCUUGUGAUAAGGAACCCGUACAAUCCAUGACUCGAUCAAGAUCUAAAGGUAGAAAUGGAACGAAAAUGUGUAAGUAUAUAUUAGAUUAUGUAUUUGAAAGAAACUAAUAGUGUGUUAUGUGCAAGGUAAGCUUAAGAGCUUGAAGAGGAUGAUCCGUGAAUACAGAAUAGGAUGAACGCUAAGGCGGGCAAAGGUGCAAAUAGGCAAAUUAACCCCAGGAACGUGUCAAGGAGAGGUCAAGCAUAGGAGGAUAACGGGUCAAGAUAAGGCAAGGUGACAAAUACACUUAUUGGAGUACUCGAGGUAUGGGAUCGUUGGCUUCAUGAAGAAAUGGAGCUGGAUUUGGAUAAGAGUAUUUAAGAAAGCGCUUGGACAAUUCCACGACUACUUUAUAGAAUGCUCUACGAAAUUUUAUUAUAUAGUUUAAUGUUGAAUGGUAUGUUAAUGACUAAUGGUUUGGUUGUACGUGGUGUCCACAGGUAUCGCUUGGGUUUUCUCUACAUUUAUUGAAGUGAAGCGGACUUAGUUCGAGUUGAGAGCAAGGAUUGUACGGGGUAGAAUGGUCACAUAGUGUAACUCAUAUAGGUUUUGAAGUAUUAAUGUUAUAAAACGUUAUAAAUCCGUUUUAAUGAAUAUAUGGCAUUUCGCACUU